CCUACGGGCGGCAGCAGUGAGGAAUAUUGGUCAAUGGACGAGAGUCUGAACCAGCCAAGUAGCGUGAAGGAUGACUGUCCUAUGGGUUGUAAACUUCUUUUAUAUGGGAAUAAAAUGUUCCACGUGUGGGAUUUUGUAUGUACCAUAUGAAUAAGGAUCGGCUAACUCCGUGCCAGCAGCCGCGGUAAUACGGAGGAUCCGAGAGUUAUCCGGAUUUAUUGGGUUUAAAGGGAGCGUAGGUGGAUUGUUAAGUCAGUUGUGAAAGUUUGCGGCUCAACCGUAAAAUUGCAGUUGAAACUGGCAGUCUUGAGUACAGUAGAGGUGGGCGGAAUUCGUGGUGUAGCGGUGAAAUGCUUAGAUAUCACGAAGAACUCCGAUUGCGAAGGCAGUUCACUGGACUGCAACUGACACUGAGGCUCGAAAGUGUGGGUAUCAAACAGGAUUAGAUACCCCAGUAGUC
rnacentral:rRNA from 1 species